AUUGAACGCUGGCGGCAUGCCUUACACAUGCAAGUCGAACGGCAGCACGGGGCAACCUGGUGGCGAGUGGCGAACGGGUGAGUAAUGCAUCGGAACGUACCUUUCAGUGGGGGAUAACGUAGCGAAAGUUACGCUAAUACCGCAUAUUCUGUGAGCAGGAAAGAAGGGGAUCGCAAGACCUUGCGCUGAUUGAGCGGCCGAUGUCAGAUUAGCUAGUUGGUGAGGUAAAGGCUAACCAAGGCGACGGUCUGUAGCGGGUCUGAGAGGAUGAUCCGCCACACUGGAACUGAGACACGGUCCAGACUCCUACGGGAGGCAGCAGUGGGGAAUUUUGGACAAUGGGGGCAACCCUGAUCCAGCCAUGCCGCGUGAGUGAAGAAGGCCUUCGGGUUGUAAAGCUCUUUCGGCCGGGAAGAAAUCGCACGGGCUAAUACCCUGUGUGGAUGACGGUACCGGAAUAAGAAGCACCGGCUAACUACGUGCCAGCAGCCGCCGUAAGAC
rnacentral:rRNA from 1 species